AAAAUCACAGCAGUCUCACGUGCAAGAAGGCCCGUAGCUACAAUACGCUCCCUUGCAAAACCUGGGAGAAAAACCGGGGCUGCCAGGAGGCGCAGGCAGGAGACGUGAGAAGGUCACCAAAGGCCGUCCUGGCCCCCUUUCUCAGAAACGGUGUCUUAUUCCCGAUUCGAAAGCAGACAGCAUGGGCCUCUGAUGUCAGAGUUCCCAACCCCCGACAGCACAUCUGCGGGAACAUUAAAAGCGGCGUGGGUCGCCGUGAUCCAGAAAAACAACAAAACCCCGUGAAGGGGCGACAACGCUGCAGAGCACACACCGGGUCGCUGUCUUUGUGGAGGAGGCGCAGGAAAGCGGCAGUUCCGCCGGUGGGCGGCUCCUGAGGGGCACCGCAGCCGGCGGGCGGAGGGGGGCGGCGUCCGGGCGGGGCGGCCGGCUGGGGCGGGGGACGGAGCACUUCCGUGAGCCGCUUCGCUUGGAGGACCCGGGAGAUGUGUCCUUGGCGGUGCCCGACUUAAAGGAGGUGUGGGGGCGCUGGGUAUCCUCGCGGCAUCUAGCCCGCGGCGGCCGCCGGGGGUUCUGUGCUGUAGGGAAGACCGCGCGCGUGUUCCGAUCCCUAAAAAGUCCGAGGCUGCGGCGGAUAGUCACAGAGCGGUCCCCAGCCGGCGCCGCGUCCUUACUGCGCACGCGCGACGCCGCCGGAGCCCGCGGGGACCCCCUCGGAGACCCCCUCGGAGACCCCCUCGGGGGUGUGGCGCCACUAGGAAGGGUUUGUCGCUGUUUUGCGCGUGCGCGCGCCCGAGCGCCGGAGCUGCAUGAGGUCUGGGGCCGGGCGUGUCUCAUCGGCUGGUGGCGGCGCCAGGGCCCCUGGUCGUGCUCUGGAGAUGCGGCGGUGGCCCGGGAGGCGGCAGGACGGCCAGGACAGGCGCGAGGGCCCUGGGAACAGCCCGGCAGUGCCUCCAGGGGAUUGCAUUCAGCCGCUGGCUCUUCUGGGGAAGACAGACAUCAUUUUCUCAGUGGCUAUGUUCAAAACCACCCAAAGGAACUGGUGAGCCAAAGGAAUGCUGGACCUGGAGCAGAUGGAGGCAAGAGAGGGGAAAGCAGAGAGACUUUGCCUGGUAGAGACAGAUACAGAAGAGGGAGUUCCCUUGGGAUGACAAAGGUGUCCACAAUCUGGCUGCUUUGGGGGCAGGUGGACUGGCCGGAAGUCGUUAACAGUUGGUGUGUGUGUCAUCCAUCCCUGGCACUGGGAUGGCAUCUGAGAAGAAUGCCUCUCCUGGUUUCACUACCCAAUAGCAACCCGUGUGAAGGUGAUCAUUUACCAUGUUGCAGCACCGUUGACACCUUUGAGCAGAACCUGGAUACUGUUCACUGGGAGCUGGGCAUCGUUCCCCCCAAGCAGGCAUCAAUGGUCUACACCACUGAGAGCGACAGGCCCCCCCAUCAUCACAGGCAGGUCCACUAUCUUCACGGUCUACCUGCACCCACUGAAGCUGGAUGA
rnacentral:lncRNA from 12 species